rnacentral:lncRNA from 1 species
CGGGGCGGCCACGCCUGGGAGCAUCAUGGCGGCCUCCCCGGUGCGCUCUUGCCGCCGCCUGUUGGGACUGCGCUCCAGGGCUGCUGACUCCGGUGGGAGUGGCUGCCCCGCGGGUUUCAGCGGAUUCGGUAGUAAGCUCGCAGUGCAAGUGCUUUCCUACUUUCCUGUCCCCGAAGUUAUUUGCUUUGCUUUUCUUUCUUUUUUUUUUUUUUCUUUUUUUUUCCUUUUUUUUCGAUUUUAUUGAUUUAUUCAUGAGAGACCCGGAGAGAAGCAGGCUCCCCGGCCCGAGCCUGAUGCAGGACUUGAUCCCAGGACCCCAGGGUCCCCACCACCUGAGCCCAAGGCCGAUGCUCAACCACCGAGCCACUCCGGCGGCCUCGUCAUCCCUUCUUACCUCAGGAUUUCAUUUUGUUUCCUAAAGGAGACGAUUUGUUCGUUGCUGCUUACUGCCUCGUCCAACACCGGCGAACGAAUGUGUGGGGCCAAGAUGAGAAAGUACGAGGAAAGGAAGGCCGGGUCUUGGUAUCCCGCCUUCCUGACCGAAGAGCCUGUUUCCCUCCUUGGGUUGACUUUGAUUUGCUCUGUAGUGAAUUUCCUUUAUCAAGAGCUUCAUUUUGAAAUGGAUCUAACCUUGAGUACCUCCUCAUCACUUUCCUAUAUUAGUCAGUCUGACUUCAGAGAGGCACAUUUACAGGAGGUAAGAAGAAUCCCAAAGCUGCGGAAGCCUAUCUGGAAGAAAUCUUCAGUCCAAGUCUUUGGACCAAGAAGCAAGUCUGGGUAUGUUGGAUGUUUGUGAACGUUUAUAUUUGCAUGUUCAUGACCCUCAUGGUUGCAAUAGGGAGGAGUGGUAGAAAAAAGGAGUUUUAUUUUAUCUUUUAGUCUAUUGUUAUGUCUCCUGAAUACAUCAGCAGAGUUUAAAAGUUAUUUUUACAUACACCAAAGGUUGAAGUCCGCUGUAUCAAAGUACCAUCUAAGAUUCUGACUUGGGGAAGUAGUGUGCUACCAUCCCUCUACUGUCCAGUAGCACCAGCAGCUUGACAUCAAUAUCAGAAUCUUCUAUCCUCUUUGGUGACCUCAGAAGUUCAUGAAUAUAAAUAUAGUGGUGUUUUCUUCUGAAAACAGAAGAUUUUUUCCCCCGUUUCUGAGAUUUCUAUGAGGUUAUCCGGUUUAUAAGGGAAAAUGCGGUCUGCUUAUGAAAAUGCUCAUAGUCAAUUUAGUUCACAAAUAUGGCAUUUUCUUUAAAGAAGAAGAAACAUGGGACACCUGGGUGGCUCAGUAGUUUAGCGUUUGCCUUUGGUUCAGGCUGCAAUCUUGAGGUCCUGGGAUCAAGUCCCACAUCGGGCUCCCUGUGGGGAGCCUGCUUCUUCCUCUGCCUGCUUCUGCCUCUCUCUCUGUGUGU